ACCUGGAGCGGCCAUUUCUUGGUCAGAUUCAGAAAGAUGACUACAAAUGUUGAGAUCUUAGCCAUUUUAAGUCGCUUGAUCACCAGAUCCGCGGUCUUCCUCUCGAUCAUGGGAACAAGAAAAACCCUAUUUUUUGGUCGGAUUUGGUCUUCAGAUUUGUCGUCUCUCUCUUGAUCUCCAGAAAAAAAAGUCUCACUCAUCC
rnacentral:lncRNA from 1 species